rnacentral:rRNA from 1 species
AUAUGAGAUAAUACCUGCCCAGUGACUUGUUCAACGGCCGCGGUAUCCUAACCGUGCAAAGGUAGCAUAAUCACUUGCCUAUUAAUUGUAGGCUAGAAUGAAAGGGUUAACGAAAUAAAAACUGUCUCAAUUAACCACCUAAAAAUUAUUAUCUACCCGAAGAAAUGUAGAUAAGCUCGAAGGACAAGAAGACCCUAUAGAGCUUAAUUUAAAUUAUAGGAGCACUAUAGUUAUAUUCGGUUGGGGCGACCCUGGGACAAUAAUCACCCACUAUACUAAAGAUAAAUAAAUCAAUUAAAUGACCCUAAUAAGAUCACUAAACCAAGCUACCUUAGGGAUAACAGGCUAAUCCCACUCAAGAGUCCUUAUCACCAGUGGGGUUUGGCACCUCGAUGUUGGCUUAGGGAAUCAAUAUAGCGCAAAAGCUAUAUAAAGAUGGUUUGUCAACCAAUAAUCCNACAU